GAGAGAGAGAGAGAGAGAGAGAGAGAGAGAGGCAAGGAUACUUUCUUUUACUCCUACCCUACUACUUAAUGUCUUAGAUGCCAAAACUAUCCCCCACUCAAUACCUUCAAAAAAAACUUCAAACACUCUGCCAAAGUUCUAAAAGAAAUCAGAAAUCAGUAAGUCUCCUUACGCUAAUGAAUCGAGUGUUAUGAAUACACAUUUGUCUGAAAGAGCUUAUCCCCCGAAGGCGAAACACGAAGCGAAUAGCAUACUGAUGUUCGAAUCAGCCGGGACGUAUUCAGAAUGAUUUUGUAAGUAAUCGGUUUGUAUCUCGUUGUUCAUCGUGAACAUGUUAUUAUUUUAUCGUUUGGCAGAUAGCGCGCAUCAGUAAAUUAUUUAUUUGUUAAAGUUAUAAACGAGACCCACAAACUCUUGUUAGAUUAGUCUGAGGUAUCUUUAUCUGAGGAGUCAAAACAUUGUCGAAAAAAAACGAGUCACUCAAAGCCCCUAUAUACUAAUGAUUCGAGUGUGUUAUGGAUACACACUCGUCCGAAAGGAGAAGUUGUUGCAAGUAUUCUCUAUUUGAAUAUAAAGUGUCUCGAACAGUUGAUGCUGCUACAUCCAACUACUGCAACACAUUGUUCGUGACUUCUUCAUUGAUACAGACAGCAGAACGGUGGCCAAGAAAGUCGGAAUUCGCUCUGGAGUGUGUAACAACUUACCUGCCGAAUCGACCGCUCCCGAAAAUGAACGGCGCUGGAGCGAGCGAGCGACCGAUGCCGGACCGGCCGGGUGACAAGUUGCGCGAUCGCCGGCGAGGCGACUUUCCGAUGCCAGGUCGAGUAGGAGGGCACCGCGGCGCGCAUGGAAGCCGCGGGCGCGAGCCCGGGUGAUGCCGUUCGCGGGUGCAGAUCUCGGUGCAGAUCUUGAAUGACUUGAUAAAAUUGCGCGU
rnacentral:ncRNA from 1 species